GAAACUAACAAGGAUUCCCCUAGUAACUGCGAGUGAAGCGGGAAAAGCUCAAAUUUAAAAUCUGGUAGUCUUCGGCUGCCCGAGUUGUAAUCUAGAGAAGCGUUAUCCGCACUGGACCAUGUAUAAAUCUCCUGGAAUGGAGUGUCAUAGAGGGUGAGAAUCCCGUCUUUGACAUGGACUACCAGGGCUUUGUGAUGCGCUCUCAAAGAGUCGAGUUGUUUGGGAAUGCAGCUCUAAAUGGGUGGUAAGUUCCAUCUAAAGCUAAAUAUUGGCAAGAGACCGAUAGCGAACAAGUACCGUGAGGGAAAGAUGAAAAGAACUUUGGAAAGAGAGUUAAACAGUACGUGAAAUUGUUGAAAGGGAAACGCUUGAAGUCAGUCAUAUUGGCCAGGGAUCAACCUUGCAGUAAUGCUUGGUGUACUUUCUGGUUGAUAGGUCAGCAUCAAUUUUGAUCAGUGGAAAAAGUUUGAGGGAAUGUGGCAUCUUCGGAUGUGUUAUAGCCCUUGGCCAUAUACAUUGGUUGGGAUUGAGGAACUCAGCAUGCCGCAAGGCCAGGUUUUUAACCAUGUUCAUGCUUAGGAUGCUGGCAUAAUGGCUUUAAUCGACCC
rnacentral:rRNA from 1 species